UCUCCGUAGGUGAACCUGCGGAGGGAUCACUACAGGCUUGCAAAAGCUCUGAAACCACUGUUUAUCUACCUGAUGCUGCUUCGGCUGGCUGCCCCAGGGCGGGGCCGCAGUCGAAAGACGCCCGCCUAAGACCCCCAAACACUUUCGUCUUGAGAAUCUCUAAAUAAUUUAAACAAACAAAAACAACUUUCAACAACGGAUCUCUUGGCUCUG
rnacentral:misc_RNA from 1 species